rfam:Schistosoma mansoni strain Puerto Rico chromosome 6, complete genome
GCACUGCUGAGGAGUCCCACGUUAGGACGUAACGGCCGUCCAGUGC